UACGAAGGGGGCUAGCGUUGCUCGGAAUCACUGGGCGUAAAGCGCACGUAGGCGGUUUGCUAAGUCAGGGGUGAAAUCCUGGAGCUCAACUCCAGAACUGCCUUUGAUACUGGCGACCUUGAGUCCGGGAGAGGUAAGCGGAAUUCCUGGUGUAGCGGUGAAAUGCGUAGAUAUCAGGAGGAACACCUGUGGUGUAGACAGCUUACUGGACCACUUCUGACGCUGAGACACGAAAGCGUGGGUAGCAAACAGG
rnacentral:rRNA from 1 species